UCGAACGGUAACAUUUCUAGCUUGCUAGAAGAUGACGAGUGGCGGACGGGUGAGUAAUGCUUGGGAACAUGCCUUUGCGAGGGGGAUAACAGUUGGAAACGACUGCUAAUACCGCAUAAUGUCUUCGGACCAAACGGGGCUUCGGCUCCGGCGCAAAGAGAGGCCCAAGUGAGAUUAGCUAGUUGGUAAGGUAACGGCUUACCAAGGCGACGAUCUCUAGCUGUUCUGAGAGGAAGAUCAGCCACACUGGGACUGAGACACGGCCCAGACUCCUACGGGAGGCAGCAGUGGGGAAUAUUGCACAAUGGGGGAAACCCUGAUGCAGCCAUGCCGCGUGUGUGAAGAAGGCCUUCGGGUUGUAAAGCACUUUCAGUUGUGAGGAAAAGUUAGUAGUUAAUACCUGCUAGCCGUGACGUUAACAACAGAAGAAGCACCGGCUAACUCCGUGCCAGCAGCCGCGGUAAUACGGAGGGUGCGAGCGUUAAUCGGAAUUACUGGGCGUAAAGCGCACGCAGGCGGUUUGUUAAGCUAGAUGUGAAAGCCCCGGGCUCAACCUGGGAUGGUCAUUUAGAACUGGCAGACUAGAGUCUUGGAGAGGGGAGUGGAAUUCCAGGUGUAGCGGUGAAAUGCGUAGAUAUCUGGAGGAACAUCAGUGGCGAAGGCGACUCCCUGGCCAAAGACUGACGCUCAUGUGCGAAAGUGUGGGUAGCGAACAGGAUUAGAUACCCUGGUAGUCCACACCGUAAACGCUGUCUACUAGCUGUGUGUGUCUUUAAGACGUGCGUAGCGAAGCUAACGCGCUAAGUAGACCGCCUGGGGAGUACGGCCGCAAGGUUAAAACUCAAAUGAUUGACGGGGACCGCACAGCGUGAGCAUGUGUUUAUUCGAUGCACGCGAGACCUUACCUACACUUGACAUGCUGAGAGUACUAGAGAUAGUUC
rnacentral:rRNA from 1 species